GUGAGUAAAAUAGUCAUUUUCUUGUUUGUUAGACUAAGGUGCUUAUUCUGUACCAGGCGAUUUCGAUGGCCUCUAGGCGUUCGAUGAUUCAUGCGAAUUUCGAAACUUCAACUCGUUGUUUCGAAACGUUUCGUAAACAAUAAACAAUUCAAAAUGACAGUUUGAAGUAAAAAAACUGUGAAUUAACUUGAAUUUUUCUGUAUCAAAAACGAGUUAACCUUUGUAAUAAUAGUAUACGAUAAGCAGGAAGAAAUUAUUAAUGCAUAAUCAGGCCGUUUCAGAUCAAACCGUUCGAAGUCGAUGCUCGAUGUAAACAAAACGCCAGCUGUCGAUCACAAAAAUGCACUCGACAGUAGGAGAUCGUGAACACCACAAUGAACACAAAAUGAACCAAAUGAAUCAUCGCCUAGAGGCCAUCGAAAUCGCCUGGUACAGAAUAAGCACCUAGGGUGCCCAUUCUCCCAGUCUACGCCUGCAUUUUCUAGGCGUAAUUCAUUUGGUUCAUGUUUGUGUUCAUUUUGGUGUUCAUCUACGACUACUUGCGUGAGCAUUUUUGUGAUCGACAGCAGGCGUUUUGUUUACAUCGAUCAUCGAUCUGAACGGUUUAAGAAGUUUCGAAAAUCGAGCAAACAAUCGACGAACCCUAGAGGUGUCACGACUAGGAGGCGUAGAGAAUUGGAGAAUAAGCCAAAGUGUCUAUAGGAAACAGGUAAAGUCAUACCGAACAAAAUCGCUCGCGACGAUUAGAAAAAUGAAUGAAAAAACUGACAGUUCGUGUCUAUGUUUUGAUUGCGUUGGACACGCUGUAUUGGCUUUGAGAUGUAAGAAAUCCGUAAAGAAAGUUCAAGGAACUGCUCGUUUGAUCUAAAAUUAAGAAAUGUGUCAUUUAAACAGGCAAAAGUACAUAAUAUGCCUGAUAAAACCAUUAGGUAGGAAUACACGAAGCGUAAACUCUCGUAUAAACUCAGAGUGUAAUGCCAAAAAGAUUAUACUUAUGUCAAAAAGAUUAUAGGCCCGCGGAGUGUAAAUCCGAGCGUAAAGCCGGCGAUACAUGAAGCGUAAACUCUCGUAUAAACUCAGAAUGUAAUGCCAAAAAGUUUACGCUUCGUGUGGCAGGCAUAAUCGCAUAAAAGUUUAUACCGAAACGUCAACUGCAAUUACAUUCGAGCACCUGCAAUUACACUAUGCUAUUACAUCCACUACAUGUGUUUUUGGCCACAAAAAAUAUGAAUCGACGAGAUAAGUUGAUUUCUGAACAUCUUUUUAUAUAUUUUAAGAUGUUUUUACUGUAUAUUAGCGAUUGUAGAACAUUCAAUUCAUCAUAACGCUACGCUUCAUGUUGGUGUUGAGUUUACGCUUGCUUUUACACUCGGAUUUACGCUCCGCGGGCCUAUAAUCUUUUUGACAUAAGUAUAAUCUUUUUGGCAUUACACUCUUAGUUUAUACGAGAGUUUACGCUUCGUGUAUUCCUACCUUUACGGAUUUCUUACUUCUCAAGGUAGGAAUACACGAAGCGUAAACUCUCGUAUAAACUGAGAGUGUAAUGCCAAAAAGAUUAUACUUAUGUCAAAAAGAUUAUAGGCCGGCGGAGCGUAAAUCCGAGCGUAAAAGCAAGCGUAAACACAGCACCAACAUGAAGCGUAGCGUUAUGAUGAAUUGAAUGUUCUACAAUCGCUAAUAUACAGUAAAAACAUCUGAAAAUAUAUAAAAAGAUGUUCAGAAAUCAACUUAUCUCGUCGAUUUAUGUUUUUUGUGGCCAGAAACACAUGUAAUUGAUGUAAUAGCAUAGUGUAAUUGCAGGUGCCCGAAUGUAAUUGCAUUUGACGUUUCGGUAUAAACUUUUAUGCGAUUAUGCCUGCCACACGAAGCGUAAACUUUUUGGCAUUACAUUCUGAGUUUAUACGAGAGUUUACGCUUCAUGUAUCGCCGG